CGCGGCCUAUCAGCUUGUUGGUGAGGUAACGGCUCACCAAGGCAUCGACGGGUAGCUGGUCUGAGAGGACGAUCAGCCACACUGGGACUGAGACACGGCCCAGACUCCUACGGGAGGCAGCAGUAGGGAAUAUUGCGCAAUGGGCGAAAGCCUGACGCAGCAACGCCGCGUGGGGGAUGAAUGCCUUCGGGUUGUAAACCCCUUUCAGCAGGGACGAAAAUGACGGUACCUGCAGAAGAAGCUCCGGCCAACUACGUGCCAGCAGCCGCGGUAAUACGUAGGGAGCGAGCGUUGUCCGGAAUUAUUGGGCGUAAAGAGCUCGUAGGCGGUUCAGUAAGUCGGGUGUGAAAACUCAAGGCUCAACCUUGAGACGCCACUCGAUACUGCUGUGACUUGAGUCCGGUAGAGGAGUGUGGAAUUCCUGGUGUAGCGGCGAAAUGCGCAGAUAUCAGGAGGAACACCAGCGGCGAAGGCGGCACUCUGGGCCGGUACUGACGCUGAGGAGCGAAAGCAUGGGGAGCAAACAGGAUUAGAUACCCUGGUAGUCCAUGCCGUAAACGUUGGGCACUAGGUAUGGGAUCAUAUCAACGGAUUCCGUGCCGUAGCUAACGCAUUAAGUGCCCCGCCUGGGGAGUACGG
rnacentral:rRNA from 1 species